CCGGAACUUCCGCUGCUGAGGAGGCUGGAGGGCUCCGGGAGAGGGGCUGAGGCCUGGCGCCCCACCCCCUCCGGAAUCGUCAGUUGCCCUGGCUCAGCGACCACCCUUCAGGCUCCCCAACUCCCGUUGGUCCCGAACUCCCCUCCCCCGCACCCCAUCCUUUCGGAUCCCAGUUGCUCCAGACAGUCCUGCUGUGCCACCCAGGCUGGAGUGUAGUGGUGCAAUUCGGUUCACUGCAACCUCUGCCUCCCGGGUUCAAGCAACUCUCCUGCCUCAGCCUCCCAAGUAGUUGGGAUUACAGGUGCUCACCACCACGCCCGGCUAAUUUUUGUAAACUUAGUAGAGUCAGAGUUUCCCCAUGUUGGCCAGGCUGGUCUCAAACUCCUGACCUCAUGUGAUCUGCCCGCCUCAGCCUCCCCAAAGUGCUGGGAUUACAGGUGAGAGCCACCGCGCCCGGCGUAUUUUGUAAUUCUCUAUAAAGAAAAGAGAAAGAUCAGUCUUUUCUCCAGCAUGGCUGAUUAAAUUUGUUUCUUAAUAAUUGUUUAUAAAUUUAUUUCAGCAUCACAACUCAUUACUGAUAUUGUUAACGUACUUUUUUAGGGUUAUUGUUCAGUUUGGGAAACCUCUCUCAAGUUUCAUGGAUGUGCU
rnacentral:lncRNA from 10 species